UACGUAGGGUGCGAGCGUUAAUCGGAAUUACUGGGCGUAAAGCGUGCGUAGGCGGUUCGUUAUGUCUGCUGUGAAAGCCCCGGGCUUAACCUGGGAAUGGCAGUGGAAACUGGCGGGCUUGAGUGUGGCAGAGGGGGGUGGAAUUCCGCGUGUAGCAGUGAAAUGCGUAGAGAUGCGGAGGAACACCGAUGGCGAAGGCAGCCCCCUGGGCUGACACUGACGCUGAGGCACGAAAGCGUGGGGAGCGAACGGG
rnacentral:rRNA from 1 species